AUUGAACGCUGGCGGCAGGCUUAACACAUGCAAGUCGAGCGGAGUGAUGGUGCUUGCACUAUCACUUAGCGGCGGACGGGUGAGUAAUGCUUAGGAAUCUGCCUAUUAGUGGGGGACAACAUCUCGAAAGGGAUGCUAAUACCGCAUACGUCCUACGGGAGAAAGCAGGGGAUCACUUGUGACCUUGCGCUAAUAGAUGAGCCUAAGUCGGAUUAGCUAGUUGGUGGGGUAAAGGCCUACCAAGGCGACGAUCUGUAGCGGGUCUGAGAGGAUGAUCCGCCACACUGGGAUUGAGACACGGCCCAGACUCCUACGGGAGGCAGCAGUGGGGAAUAUUGGACAAUGGGGGGAACCCUGAUCCAGCCAUGCCGCGUGUGUGAAGAAGGCCUUAUGGUUGUAAAGCACUUUAAGCGAGGAGGAGGCUCUUUUGGUUAAUACCCAAGAUGAGUGGACGUUACUCGCAGAAUAAGCACCGGCUAACUUCGUGCCAGCCGCCGCCGUAA
rnacentral:rRNA from 1 species